UAUGGAUUUUGGAGACAUAAU
rnacentral:piRNA from 1 species